UAGGGAAUCUUCGGCAAUGGACGGAAGUCUGACCGAGCAACGCCGCGUGAGUGAAGAAGGUUUUCGGAUCGUAAAGCUCUGUUGUAAGAGAAGAACGAGUGCGAGAGUGGAAAGUUCACACUGUGACGGUAUCUUACCAGAAAGGGACGGCUAACUACGUGCCAGCAGCCGCGGUAAUACGUAGGUCCCGAGCGUUAUCCGGAUUUAUUGGGCGUAAAGCGAGCGCAGGCGGUUAGAUAAGUCUGAAGUUAAAGGCUGUGGCUUAACCAUAGUACGCUUUGGAAACUGUUUAACUUGAGUGCAAGAGGGGAGAGUGGAAUUCCAUGUGUAGCGGUGAAAUGCGUAGAUAUAUGGAGGAACACCGGUGGCGAAAGCGGCUCUCUGGCUUGUAACUGACGCUGAGGCUCGAAAGCGUGGGGAGCAAACAGGAUUAGAUACCCUGGUAGUCCACGCCGUAAACGAUGAGUGCUAGGUGUUGGGUCCUUUCCGGGACUCAGUGCCGCAGCNNNNCGCAUUAAGCACUCCGCCUGGGGAGUACGACCGCAAGGUUG
rnacentral:rRNA from 1 species